GCAAGUCGAGGGGUAACAUUGUGCUUGCCCAGAUGACGACCGGCGAACGGGUGCGUAACGCGUAUAGAAUCUGCCUUGUACAGGAGGAUAGCCUUUAGAAAUGAAGAUUAACACUCCAUAAUGUAUAGAAGAGGCAUCUCUUUUAUAUUAAAUAUUUAUAGGUACAAGAGGACUAUGAGGCCUAUUAGCUAGAGGGUAAGGUAACGGCUUACCAUGGCAACGAUAGGUAGGGGGUCUGAGAGGAUUAGC
rnacentral:rRNA from 1 species